rnacentral:rRNA from 1 species
UGAGGAAUAUUGCCCAAUGGACGAAAGUCUGAGGCAGCGACGCCGCGUGGGUGAUGAAGGCCUUCGGGUCGUAAAGCCCUUUUCUGUGUGACGAGCAAAGGACGGUAGCACAGGAAAAAGUCUCGGCUAACUACGUGCCAGCAGCCGCGGUAAAACGUAGGAGGCAAGCGUUAUCCGGAGUUACUGGGCGUAAAGCGUGCGUAGGCGGGUCGGUAAGUGGGUGGUGAAAGCGCCGGGCUAAACCGGGCGAGGUCCAUUCAGACUGCCAACCUAGAGGCGGAUAGAGGGGUGCGGAAUUCCGGGUGUAGCGGUGAAAUGUGUAGAGAUCCGGAGGAACACCAGUGGUGCAAACGGCGCCCUGGGUCCGAACUGACGCUGAGGCACGAAAGCGUGGGGAGCGAAC